rnacentral:rRNA from 1 species
UACGGAGGGAGCUAGCGUUAUUCGGAAUUACUGGGCGUAAAGCGCACGUAGGCGGCUUUGUAAGUAAGAGGUGAAAGCCUGGAGCUCAACUCCAGAACUGCCUUUUAGACUGCAUCGCUUGAAUCCAGGAGAGGUGAGUGGAAUUCCGAGUGUAGAGGUGAAAUUCGUAGAUAUUCGGAAGAACACCAGUGGCGAAGGCGGCUCACUGGACUGGUAUUGACGCUGAGGUGCGAAAGCGUGGGGAGCAACAGG